GAUGAAGAACGUAGCGAAAUGCGAUAACUAAUGUGAAUUGCAGAAUUCCGUGAAUCAUCGAGUCUUUGAACGCACAUUGCGCCCCCUGGUAUUCCGGGGGGCAUGCCUGUCCGAGCGUCAUUGCUGCCCAUCAAGCACGGCUUGUGUGUUGGGUCCUCGUCCCCCCCGGGGGACGUGCCCGAAAGGCAGCGGCGGCACCGCGUCCGGUCCUCGAGCGUAUGGGGCUUUGUCACCCGCUCUGCAGGCCCGGCCGGCGCUGGCCGACGCGAAAGCAACCAUUUUUUCUCCAGGUUGACCUCGGAUCAGGUAGGGAUUCCCGCUGAACUUAAGCAUAUCAAUAAGCGGAGGA
rnacentral:misc_RNA from 1 species